UUGUUUCCUUGAACUUCCCAGGAGUUCCAGCCUGACCACACUGGUUUUGUGCUAUGGGAUGCCUAGAAAAUAUGGAUGCCCUAAACAGGACAGAUCGACAUCCAGCAAGCGAUUCCCAGGUUACUGUCAGCCAAACCACGGUGCCUUGGGAUCCAAACAGCACAAAAGAGUCAACCUGCUGAGUCUCACAGCAUCUGCCUUGGCCUCAGUUGAAGACCUAAGCAUGUUCCAGUGGCCCUGCACUCCCCGUGCACGGGGUCAGCCGAAACAGGCUCUCAUCAUCCGGCUUUCCAACAGGGAAUUUCUCACGGCACGAGCAACCUCCUUUCCAGCAAAUCACAGGUGUUCCCCACAUGGCGUGAGCAGUUCUGGGAGAGGAAAUUCUGCAAACCGACUCUGAACUCAGGAAAGGGAGGUACUCGGGAACUUGCUGUGCUGAAGGAAAACACAAGAGGCUUGUCUUUGCAAUUGUGCCUGAUUGAGCACUACCGAAAAAUACAGAAAUGUGGAGCCAGACUGGUACCAAGCAGUUCCAGGAUAAGACAAAUGAUCUUUGUGUUACUGGAUCUCUGCAUCACCAACUGGGAUUGAAAAAAGAGAUGGCACGG